UGGGGUAAUUUUCCGCAAUGGGCGAAAGCCUGACGGAGCAAUGCCGCGUGGAGGUGGAAGGCCUACGGGUCGUCAACUUUCCUUUCUCGGAGAAGAAACAAUGACGGUAUCUGAGGAAUAAGCAUCGGCUAACUCUGUGCCAA
rnacentral:rRNA from 1 species